ensembl:lncRNA
GAGCCUCUAAGGCUCUGAUGCAGGUGUUCUCUGGCCACCUCUACGGAAACACCAUCUUGUUCAGCGCUUUGCAAACUGCCCGUUGUGACUCGUCAGUGAGUUGUGAGAUCAAGUGAUUCAGUUGGGACCGGCAUAUUUAAAAGAAUAAGUAGAAGAGAACAGAAAGAAAUAGGAGGAGAGUGGAAGAGAGGAGGAGAGGAGGGAAGUAUCAGAGUGUAUCACAUGUGGUGAUGGUAAGUGUUGUCCCGUGUAACUUGGUUUCAGUGUGUGUGUGCGUGUGCGUGUGUGCUGGGCCCCUUCACAGAAUCUACUGUGCAGGUCAUGGGAAGUAUCAGAGUGUAUCACAUGUGGUGAUGGUAAGUGUUGUCCCGUGUAAGUUGGUUUCAGUGUGCGUGUGUGCGUGUGCGUGUGCUGGGCCCCUUCACAGAAUCUACUGUGCAGGCCAUGGGAAGGCAGUGGGAAGGCUGGCCUAGAGCACCCACUCCUGUAGGCUGGGAGGACCAGCAUCAGGCAGGCAGUUGUCCUGAUGUCGGCCGGCUCUCAUUCUGUAUGGAAACCUGCCUUCCUCUUGUAUCCAUUUUCCCUGCUGUGCCCUCCAUCAGAGCAAUGAAUGGCUCCACUCCCUCCUUCCACGGCUCCUCAGAACUUUGAGAAGGGGCAGCAUCCUGGAUGGGGUGGGCUGGUGUUCUAAUUGCAGCUGCCUAAUCAGCUGUAGCUGGCGUUGCAGAUGGUCAGUGUCGGGAGCUCUGACGUGCACCAGUAGCUCCUGGAGGGGUGGGGCCGGGCAGGGGAGGAAACCCAAAGUCCGCUGAGCCCCAGCUUCGAGACUGCAGGGAGGGACAGGGGAGGCAGGAGGGGGCGGCGGGGAUUCCAUCCCUGCUCACCAGUUGCCUUGUUUGGUCUUGUUUUCGGCAUCUGCCUGUGUGGUGCUGCCUGUCUCCUGCAGAGGCCCACACUCACACCUCAGCUCCUUUGUUCUUCAGACUGAACGUUCUGAGUUUCUUCCAUUGUUUUUAAUGAUGUAGUUCUCAGUCACUGUUCCGGUUGGCUUACUCGACACUCUCUGGUAAGUCCUAUGAAAGGACCCUGAACUGCUUAUCUAGCUGUUGAAUGAAUGACCAGUGCAAAGAAAGCAGGCGUAUACGACCUCUUCCCGCCUGACUCCCUGACCCCUUCAGUGUGCUGUCACACUCUGCAUUUCAGCACAUACUUACUGAGCAUCUUUCACAUCUAUUUUACAUGUUAGGUACUGGGGAAACAGAAAUGCAAAGACAGAAAGCUUCCCCCACAAGUAGUCAGCAUUUUGACAGAGAAACUGGCUUGUAACCAGCCAUUUGAUUCAGGAUAUGUUCAAGACUAGAAGUGUGCACCAGGUCCCAGGAGGGAGAGAGAGCACCUGGCACGUGAGAAGCGCUCACUAAUGCUGAUGCAGAAUGAACUAACACUGUAGGGACUCCGGGCUACUCAGGGAGAUUUCUAGAGAAGGGGACGCCUGAGCAGGGAUUUGCUUCAACUCCACCGCGGAGUGGAACCCACCCACGCUUCUAAGUUGCACUUGAUGAAGCUCUGAGCCAGGAGAACCAAAGAUUUUCUCUCCGGGGCUGGUCAUCUUUCUUCUAGAUCAUGGGAAUAACAUUUGGUUUUCUAGCUUGACUAUGAAGAAUCAUUAUAAUUUGGCAUAGUUUCCACAGGCGGCUAGUAUUAGAUGCAAAAUAAUUGAGCAAAGAUGUGCAGUUGAAACAAAUCUGCCCCAAGCUGGCUCCAUUUCCCUACCUGCCCCACUCAUGUGCUCAAGACUUGGAACUCGUUGUUAUUGACUUGAGCCACAGCUCACUCACCAGGUAAGAAUAAAGAGUGAAAUGUUCUUACCUAAGAAGGAAUUCGCUUCUGUAAUGAAACUGCUUGGGGGCAGGGCUGACUUACCUAACAUA